rnacentral:rRNA from 1 species
AAUCAACGCUGGCGGCGUGCCUAACACAUGCAAGUCGAGCGGUAACGCGGGAGCAAUCCUGGCGACGAGCGGCGAACGGGUGAGUAAUGCUUCGGAAUCUGCCCAAUGGUGGGGAAUAACCAACCGAAAGGUUGGCUAAUACCGCAUAAGUCCUAAGGGAGAAAGCGGGGGAUCGUAAGACCUCGCGCCGAUGGAUGAGCCGAAGUCGGAUUAGCUAGUUGGUAGGUAACGGCCUACCAAGGCGACAAUCCGUAGCUGGUCUGAGAGGACGGCCAGCCACACUGGGACUGAGACACGGCCCAGACUCCUACGGGAGGCAGCAGUGGGGAAUAUUGGACAAUGGGGGAAACCCUGAUCCAGCGACGCCGCGUGUGUGAAGAAGGCCUGCGGGUUGUAAAGCAC